rnacentral:rRNA from 1 species
AACGAACGCUGGCGGCAGGCUUAACACAUACAAGUCGAGCGCCCCGCAAGGGGAGCGGCAGACGGGUGAGUAACGCGUGGGAAUCUACCCAUCACUACGGAACAACUCCGGGAAACUGGAGCUAAUACCGUAUACGUCCUUCGGGAGAAAGAUUUAUCGGUGAUGGAUGAGCCCGCGUUGGAUUAGCUAGUUGGUGGGGUAAUGGCCUACCAAGGCGACGAUCCAUAGCUGGUCUGAGAGGAUGAUCAGCCACACUGGGACUGAGACACGGCCCAGACUCCUACGGGAGGCAGCAGUGGGGAAUAUUGGACAAUGGGCGAAAGCCUGAUCCAGCCAUGCCGCGUGAGUGAUGAAGGCCCUAGGGCUGUAAAGCUCUUUCAACGGUGAAGAUAAUGACGGUAACCGUAGAAGAAGCCCCGGCUAACUUCGUGCCAGCAGCCGCCGUAAUAC